rnacentral:rRNA from 1 species
UGACCUCGGAUCAGGUAGGGAUACCCGCUGAACUUAAGCAUAUCAAUAAGCGGAGGAAAAGAAACCAACAGGGAUUGCCCCAGUAACGGCGAGUGAAGCGGCAAGAGCUCAAAUUUGAAAGCUGGCUCCUUCGGGGUCCGCAUUGUAAUUUGCAGAGGAUGCUUCGGGAGCGGUCCCCAUCUAAGUGCCCUGGAACGGGACGUCAUAGAGGGUGAGAAUCCCGUAUGGGAUGGGGUGUCCGCGCCCGUGUGAAGCUCCUUCGACGAGUCGAGUUGUUUGGGAAUGCAGCUCUAAAUGGGUGGUAAAUUUCAUCUAAAGCUAAAUAUUGGCCGGAGACCGAUAGCGCACAAGUAGAGUGAUCGAAAGAUGAAAAGCACUUUGAAAAGAGAGUUAAAAAGCACGUGAAAUUGUUGAAAGGGAAGCGCUUGCGACCAGACUCGCUCGCGGGGUUCAGCCGGCAUUCGUGCCGGUGUAUUUCCCCGCGGGCGGGCCAGCGUCGGUUUGGGCGGUCGGUCAAAGGCCCUCGGAAGGUAACGCCCCUAGGGGCGUCUUAUAGCCGAGGGUGCAAUGCGACCUGCCUAGACCGAGGAACGCGCUUCGGCUCGGACGCUGGCA